UAAUGAAUAUGCAUGAGUACAAAAUGGCGGCGCCUACUGGAAUUCGGAUGCCUUUGAUGAUACCCUUGUAUCUAUUACCUGCUCAGUCAAGUGUGACAUGUUCACCAUAAGUGUUCCUUCUCAUGAGAAGGAACAAUAAGCUUAACUUAAAUUGGUGGUGUUCGGUCUAAAAUUUUAUACCAUCAGAUACAUGUACUACCCUGAUAUGAAUGGUAAUACUCAUACAGGCCUUAUAUUUGGUUUAGAAAAAUAAUAUGAUGUAAUGCUGACCAAGGUAUUGAUUUAAAAGAUAAGCAUACAUGUGGCUUCAGUGUGAAAGUGAACUUCAAAGAAAUCUGUAGGGAUAGUGAUCACUCAGUUGAUCACUAAGUCAUUGUUUCAAAUCACAUAUACAUAUCUAAAAUGUCAUCAAGAAUAAAAUCAAUAUAUCUUAUAAUAAUUACACUGAAUAGACAUAUUCUAGGUAUCAACAACCCUGAUGAGACAGAUAACAAUAACAGCAACUCCUCUACAAAGAAACUACAUCAUCUGAUAAAAAAUCCAAACAGGAUUGGCAAGGAAUAUCUCCAUUACAGGAUAACCUCACAGGGAUAUUUCAGACACAUCAAGAUAUCUAUGCCUGACAGGACCAAUGACCACAAGAUGCUGUAACUGUUAGCAAACUUGAAAACAGACAAAGCUGCAGGAACGGAUAAGAAGCCACUUGUUCUUUAACAACUUCGAGUUGGAUUGCUCCAAUUCUUGAAGCAUGGCUUCAAGGAGUGUUGCACCUGUGAGAACCAACGGCUGCAAACUUGUUGAUGAAAUUGAAAGAAACAUCACAAAACACCAAAAAUGAUCCAGUGAUAUGUGUGAACUUACUGUACAGCAUAAUAGGUGCAGACAAUGAAGUUCUGAUGUAAAGACAUGUUGGUCUUUGUUCUACAGUUGUGGUGUAUGAGGGGAACAUAGUGUAUGGGAAUCUUGGAAAAAGUUUAAUAAUAUGAAAUUACAGUGAAGCGCAGAAUGGCUACAAACCAUGGACUUCAGAUAUGACGAGAUGCAGGUCUUUAUGCUACUCG